GGGAGGGUAUUGAUGAGAAACAUCCCACAUCGGAAAUAUAAGAAUUAUUCUACUAUUAUAUAAAGGGUUAGGGCCAAUCCACUAAUUGCCAAUUGGUUUUAAGUUGGAAGCCCAUAAUUAACCCGAAUCUAACAUGGUAUCAGAGCAAUAAGAUCCUCUGACCUAAUUUACUACAACUACUACUACACCGGUGUUGGACCCUCUGUGGAUGUUAUUCCCACAAUUGUCCACGCUUCAGACCUAGAUGUCUGAGCGUGAGGGAGGGUAUUGAUGAGAAACAUCCCACAUCGGAAAUAUAAGAAUUAUUCUACUACUAUAUAAAGGGUUAGGGCCAAUCCACUAAUCGCCAAUUGGUUUUAAGUUGGAAUCCCAUAAUUAACCCGAAUCUAACAACUAGCUUAAGAUCAAUGACGAUGUAUGAAGAGCUUCCUGCCUUCUCCCUGCUUUUAGCAUUCCAUUUAGCGUCGUCUCCGUUCGUGCUACAGAGCGAUUGAAACGCACCGCUCGUGAGGCGCGUUGCAGCUUUUCAAACUUUAAACUGCAAAGUUGUCUCCUUUACAGAGGAGGUUUAGUCUUGAAGCAGAGACUCUAUCAUCAGGAAGGUCCAUACUUCUGACCAGGUUGAAGCUAUUAUAUGCAUUGUGGCCUACCUCUGUAGCUCUUCAGAGGAAGGAUCGUGAAAACAAUUAUCCGUACUUUUCCUCAAGCAAGGGAGUAGUACUCUGGAGAUAUCAUAGUAUCUUCUGUUCAUGAGCCUGAUCUGGAGUCUAAAGUCCUCGUUACAACCCUUUUUUUUUAAUCCUAAGGUGGAGUGUUUAGCUGGAACUCAACAGAAAUCUAAAGACAACUUUUCCUUGCUGCUAUGUGUUAUUAGUCAAGAUGCCUCGUUGCUUGUUAUGAAUAGGAUGCCGAAACUGUGCUGACUGUUUUUAAAGUGAAUGGAACAUUGUUCUUUUUGUUGAUUAUGUUGCUAUCCAGAGGGAGCCAAUUGCUAACUGGAGUAUGGAUUCUAUUUCUUCUUCGCUUAGGAAGCUGAAAGAGAUUCAUCAAAAAGAUGGAAUCGUAUUCUAGAGAUGCAAUACAGAGGACUGUUCAAGGGAAGAUGCCAAGGAAGGCUUCCUGAAGGAAAGGGUCGUUUGGUACUUGGAGAUGGAAGCAUAUAUGAUGGAGUGUGGCACAACGGUAAAAUAUCUGGUCUUGGAACAUUCUACUUCAAAAGAAUGGAGACGUGUUUCAAGGCACAUGGAGAGAAGAUUUAAUACACGGAAGGGGGUGGUUUUAUUUCUACAAAAGUGACCGGUGAGAUAUUCUUUGGACAUUUCAAAGAUGGAUGGCGACACGGAGAGUUCCUCUGUGUAGAUGUUGAUGGAACAAGAUACUCUGAAACUUGGGACAAUGGUGUUCUUAUUGACCGGAAACAAGUGGACUCCGGAGAUUGAUGCUGUACGGCACCUUGAAUGAUGUUUAGGCACAACAUAGAAGUCCUUAUUUUUUAUUUUGAGCGUGUCAUCAGAUGAAUCAUCAGCCAUCUCUCAACACAUGAUUGGGUUUAGCCAGAAAAUAAGUACUAUUGUUGUUGAUGGCUUUUGUACAAAGUGCUCUCAAAAAGAGUUGAACAUGUAUAUCAACCAACAAGAUACAUUUACACAAGUCCUGUUUGUUUUUCCUGAUAAAUCGCUAAAAUUUUCAGCGAUAUGAAACGACGAUUUACGAUUAGUUGUUGCAAAUUUGCAA